rnacentral:rRNA from 1 species
GACGAACGUUGGCGGCGUGCCUAAUACAUGCAAGUAGAACGCUGAAGGAGGAGCUUGCUUCUCUGGAUGAGUUGCGAACGGGUGAGUAACGCGUAGGUAACCUGCCUGGUAGCGGGGGAUAACUAUUGGAAACGAUAGCUAAUACCGCAUAAUAGCAGUUAUUGCAUGAUAACUGUUUAAAAGGUGCAAUUGCAUCACUACCAGAUGGACCUGCGUUGUAUUAGCUAGUUGGUGGGGUAACGGCUCACCAAGGCGACGAUACAUAGCCGACCUGAGAGGGUGAUCGGCCACACUGGGACUGAGACACGGCCCAGACUCCUACGGGAGGCAGCAGUAGGGAAUCUUCGGCAAUGGACGGAAGUCUGACCGAGCAACGCCGCGUGAGUGAAGAAGGUUUUCGGAUCGUAAAGCUCUGUGUAAGAGAAGAACGAGUGUGAGAAGUGGAAAGUU